CCUAUCCACAGGAAACAAGAGUCAUGCUUCUGUACCACUGGCUACAAAUAUGCCCAAUGAUCCAAGUGGGCACAUUGCAACAGGACCCAGAAAUAACGUUGUUGGGUCCUCUGACUCAGCAAGGGUAUCAUGGCAUGAAAAGGAGACUGGUGAUAGGACAAUUAUGAAACAAUUAGAUGAUGCAGAUGACAUGAGACUGAGCAGUGGCACUGCAUUAUCCGCUGGGGAGUGGGCUGAUAGCCUUACCAACAUUAGUGUUGGGGAUCUACUUUCAGAAGUGCCUCAUGAUGUAGAUCCUAA
rnacentral:misc_RNA from 1 species